rnacentral:rRNA from 1 species
CCAAACGGCCAUACCACGUUGAACACACCAGUUCUCGUCCGAUCACUGAAGUUAAGCAACGUCGGGCCGUUAGUACUUGGAUGGGUGACCGCCUGGGAAUCCUGGGUGCUGUUGGUA